CUUCGUACGCGUUUUUGAACAGCUUCGAGAUGUUUUCGAGAAAACAAGGCAUUGUGCUUAUCGUGAUGAUUUUCUGCUUUUAUACUGAAGCCAAGCUUGAAUGUCCGUUGUGGUGUGACUGUACAGAUGACUUCUCAGUCGUAGUCUGCCGAGGAAUGGAGAAAUUCCCCGCAUUCAGCUUUGCAUCAAACGUCAAAACUCUGGAUUUGACAUAUGGAAAAAUAAAACACAUUUCCUUUAAAGACGUGAGGGCUUACUCAAACCUGGAGUAAUUGUUUAUCAAUCAUAAUCCUUUGGACUGCGAUCACGUGACUAUCCACACGCUGAAACACUUGAGAGAGACUGCGGGAUUGAAGUCAUUUGACGGCCACAAAAUUAAAUGUCCGAGAAAACCACCACUGAUGGAUAAGGGGC